ACAACAACAACAACAACAACAACAACAUCAAACAGAGAUAGUCUAUAAAAGUGCACCGGCAAGCUCCGUUACUCUCACGCGCAGCUUCUCCCGUCCUGAAUGAGGAGCGUCCCCGCCCUGCACUACACACACACACACACACACAGACACACACACCCGUCAUGUUUUCUCUCUCUUAAGGUUUUCUGUAUGUCUUUUCGGUUUUUCUGUCUGGGGAUGUGUGAGACGAGCAGGACUAAGAGCUGUCACGGGUCACAAGAGAGAAACUCGGCGCUGACACAGCACAACUCCUCUCCAUGCCUUUUUAGAUCUGAGUGGAAAGUUCUAGUGUGACAGAAGGGCAGGGAUCUUCCCAGUAGUAAGUACAGGAUCCAUGUUUUACUGACAUUCAAAUGAGUGUGGCAAGGCGCAUUAUCCUGCUGAAAGAGGCCACUGCCAUUAGGAGUGUACUUGGUCUGCAACAAUGUUUAGGUACAUGAUACGCAUUAAAGUAACAUCUACAUGAAUGCCAAGACUCAAGGUUUCCGAGCAGAACAUUGCCCAGAGCAUCACACUUCCUCCACCGGCUUGCCUUCUUCCAAUAGUGCAUCCAGUACCAUCUCUUCCCCAGGUACCACGUAGACUCCUACUGGAUCAUCUCAUGAGAUGGACCGGUGUUCUGUCCAGGGUUAUUCCUGCCUCAUACUCAAUGUCCCAGGGAUUGGAAGCCCUAACCAGGAUAAAGCUGGCUGUCCAUAUGAUGUAAAAGAAAACUUGAUUCUUCCAUUGGACCAUGGUCCGGUUCUUAUGCUCACAUGCAAACUGUAGGCUUUUUCAGCAGUGGACAGGGGUCAGCAUGGGCACUCUGACCGGUCUGCAGCUACACAGCACUACAUGUAGCAAGCUGCAAUGCACUGUGUCUUCUGAUACCUUUCUAUCAUAGCCACUAUUCAAUUUUUCAGGAAUUUGUGUUACUGUAGCUCUUCUGUGGGAUCUGAACAGAUGGGCUAGCCUUCACUCCCCAUGCACACAAUGAGUCUUAUGGUAAAUUAGCCUUAAGGAAAGUUAGGAGAGACAGAGAGAGUAAAGUCAUUCCUCCCACCCAGAGAGCACAGCCAGUUUGGCUCCCGUGGCCUUUGAUGCUUGUGGCAUUGUCAGGAUUCAAACUUGCAAUCUCCUGAUGAUAGGGCGUUUCUGUUGUGUCACUUGGGAGCAAGUUGAUAGCAUAUCUUAAAUAACAUUAUGUGCAUGCUCUUGAUAAAAAUAAGCAUGAAUAAAAGCCUCAGUAUUCAUUCAGGCUCAUAUUUCAGAUUACGGUAAACAUUCUCCAGCUUUCAGUUUCCACGCUUGCUCAGACUGAUGUGCGCAGUAGCCAAUCAGAGACGAUCAUGUGAUGUUCAAUAAGGACUUACCCUUUCCCUUCUGAAUGACUGUUGAUAAGUUUCUGACUUGCUGUUGGUUUUGGGCUUCUCAUUGUGUUUCUGCUCACAGGUCACCAUAGAUAUGCAACUAGCUACAAAUUUGCCUUUGUGCUUUUACAUUUUUAUGCUGCUUUUGGCUUUGCUGUUGUGUUUUUGGCUUUGGUGUUGUGGCUUUUUUUAUUUGGUGUUGUGUUUUUUUUAUUUGCUGUUGUUUUAGUAUUGCUGUUGUGUUCUUGGCUUUGAUGGUGUAUUUUUGGUUUUGCCAUUGUGCUACUAAUUUGAUGUUGUGCUUUUAGUUUUGCCAUUAUGUAUUUGAUCUGACAUUGUGUUUUUAGAUUUGCUGUUGUGUUUUAGUUUUGCUGCUGUGUUUUUUA
ensembl:lncRNA